GACGAACUGUCCUAACGUUGUUCGGAAUCACUGGGCUUAAAGGGCGCGUAGGCGGUCCGACAAGUCAGGGGUGAAAUCCUGCAGCUUAACUGCAGAAGUGCCUUUGAUACUGUCGGUCUUGAGGGAGAUAGGGGUGUGCGGAACUCACAGUGGAGCGGUGAAAUGCGUUGAUAUUGUGAGGAACGCCGGAGGCGAAAGCGGCGCACUGGAUCUCUUCUGACGCUGAGGCGCGAAAGCUAGGGGGAGCAAACGGG
rnacentral:rRNA from 1 species